GCGCUUGACUGAGUAAAACUCUUCCCACAUUGAUUACAGCCAUAAGGUUUCUCUCCUGUGUGUGUUCUCUGGUGUAUCGUCAGAUACACAGAUGUAC